UACGGGGGGGCAAGCGUUGUUCGGAAUUACUGGGCGUAAAGGGCUCGUAGGCGGCCAACUAAGUCGGACGUGAAAUCCCUCGGCUUAACCGGGGAACUGCGUCCGAUACUGGAUGGCUUGAGUGUGGGAGAGGGAUGCGGAAUUCCAGGUGUAGCGGUGAAAUGCGUAGAUAUCUGGAGGAACACCGGUGGCGAAGGCGGCAUCCUGGACCGGCAUUGACGCUGAGGCGCGAAAGCCAGGGGAGCAAAGCGGGAU
rnacentral:rRNA from 1 species